UACGUAGGGGGGCAAGCGUUGUCCGGAAUUAUUGGGCGUAAAGAGCGUGUAGGCGGUUUGGUAGGUCCGUUGUGAAAACUCGAGGCUCAACCUCGAGACGCCGAUGGAAACCAUCAGACUAGAGUCCGGAAGAGGGAAGCGGAAUUUCCGGUGUAGCGGUGAAAUGCGUAGAUAUCGGAAGGAACACCUGUGGCGAAAGCGGCUCACUGGACCAUUACUGACGCUGAUGCACGAAAGCUAGGGGAGCAAACAGG
rnacentral:rRNA from 1 species